CACACAUUUACUGACAGAGACACACUCAGCGACAGACAUACAUACACCCUCACUUACAAAACAUACACUCUCAUUGACAAACACACUCACUAACAGACAUCAAACACACUCACUAACACACACAGUAACACACUCGCUGACACUCACUAGCAGACACACACACUAACAUUCACUCUAACACUCACACACACACACUCUAACACUCACACUAACUCACACACACACUCUAAC